UUGAAGGCCGUCAACCAGCUGCUUUCUCUCAAGGCUGACCGAUGGGGUCUACUUAACUCUGCGAACAUUGUCCUAAUCCCAAAGAAAGAUGGGCCUUGCGAUGCCUUGGAUUUCCGGCCAAUCAGCCUCAUGCAUAGCAUUGCAAAAAUCUUGUGCAAGCUGUUGGCAAAUCGGCUGGCUCCCGAGCUAGAUGCCUUGGUGUCCCACAGUCAGAGUACCUCUAUCAAACGGAGAUGCAUCCAAGACAACUUCUUAUAUGUCCAGAAUGUCAUUAGAGAAGCUCACAGCAAGAAGAAGCCCGCUAUCUUCCUGAAGCUGGGCUUUGCGAAAGCCUUCGAUUCUGUCGGCUGGGGAUAUUUAUUGGAUAUUCUGAAGGCUUUUGGGUUUGGGCAGCACUGGAGGGACCUCCUCUCCAUUAUUCUGCGUUCCUCGUCAUCCAGAAUCCUUCUAAAUGGCUCUCCUGGUGCGCCAUUCAUGCAUAUGCGGGGCUUCGACAGGGGGAUCUGUUAUCCCUGA
rnacentral:rRNA from 1 species